rnacentral:rRNA from 1 species
AAGCGCUUGUGACCAGACGCGCGCCGGGGUGCUCAGCAGGCGUUCUCGCCUGUGCACUCGCCCCGGCGCGGGCCAGCGUCGGUUCGGAUGGGGGGAUAAAAGCUUUGGGAAUGUAGCUCUCUUCGGGGAGUGUUAUAGCUCGUUGCAGAAUACCCCUGGCGCGGACCGAGGACCGCGCCUUGUGCAAGGAUGCUGGCGUAAUGGUCGUCAGCG